UCCGGCUCUUCCGGGGAAGUGGGGCGGAGGACCCAGGCAGAAGUUGCUUCGAAAGUGACCUGCCAAUCAUCCAGUUGCCCUGGCAAGAAACCGUGGAGAUAUCCUUGUCUCCUCACUUUCUUUACCUUCAGAAAAUCUCAUUCUGACUCUCUCCACCCCUGCACUUCUCAGGAUUCUAAGCAUUUCAUGCCUACCUCUCCUCAGGAGCCAGGGCCUGACCAACCCAUUGCAGUAGAACAUCUACAAGGUCUACAGAGAUGACAGAGAAUGACUGAGUUAUAAUAUACACUUAAUAAAUGUCAUUAAAUAUAUGACCAAGUGUGGUUUCUCUAGGACUCCUGGAGAAAAGAUCACUGCUUCCAUUAGACCGAAGGAUUGAUUUGGGUGUAAGUGUUGGGCUCUGGAUUCACAAGCUCCUGUUAAACAAAAAGAAAAUGUGAGCUCCAUUUGCUGGGUGGACCCUCCCAGUCUACCCACUGUAGUCUGGAGACCAAACAGCCUGACACUUUCGUUUCUUUGGAAAUUCCAAAGAUCCUCCCUUCUCAUCACACUUUAGUCACACUGGCACCUCUCUGUUCCUGGGAUGACCCGUCUACUUCCCCAUUGUGGUAAACAGACUCUAAAAUGUUCCCCAUAAUCCCUGCCUCCAGGUAUUCAUUCCCUUAUGUAAUCUUCUCCCCUUGAGGGCAAGACCUGUGACUUGCAUCUAAUCAACCGAAUAUGGCAAAGGUGGCAAGAUAGACAUGAUUGCAUGUAUGUGAUGCUGUUACAUAAGUUUAUGAAUUCUGUCUUGGCUUUGAAGAAGCAAGAUGCAAUGUUGUGCACUGCCUAUGGAAAGGGCCACAUGGCAAAGAACUGAGGAUGACCUCCGGCUGUCAUUAAGAAACUGAGGCUCUCAUUGUGACAGUCUGCAAGGAACUGAAUGCUGCUAAUAACCAUGUGAGCUUGGAAGUAAAUCCAUCACCAGUUGAGCCUCAGAUGAGACCUGAGCUUUGAGUGACAUCUUGAUUAUAUAGCCUUUCAGAAGACCUGUCUAAGCAAUGCCUGAACUUCUGACCCACAGAAACUGUGAGAUAAUAAAUUAAUGUUGUUUUAAGCUGCAAA